UACGUAGGGUGCAAGCGUUAAUCGGAAUUACUGGGCGUAAAGCGUGCGCAGGCGGUUAUGCAAGACAGAUGUGAAAUCCCCGGGCUUAACCUGGGAACUGCAUUUGUGACUGCAUAGCUAGAGUACGGUAGAGGGGGAUGGAAUUCCGCGUGUAGCAGUGAAAUGCGUAGAUAUGCGGAGGAACACCGAUGGCGAAGGCGGGCUACUGGGCCGAUACUGACGCUGAUGCGCGAAAGCCAGGGGAGCAAACGGG
rnacentral:rRNA from 1 species